GCUCACUUCAAGGAAAUGCACACUGCCACAAAUGUAAGGGGCAAUACUCACAAAAAAAGUGUAUCUCUUAAUUACCAAAAUAAUUCCUUCCAUCUCUACCACGUUUUCAAAUGCUUGCUGACAUUUCCGAGGAAUCUAAAUGUUCAGACAAAAAUUUAAUUCCCUCUUAACACGUUGAGAAGACGUAAGAUGUCACCUUGCUAUCACUUGCAUCCAACAAUCAUUUUAGAUAGUGUGACACAUUAGAAGCACGUUAUCUAGCUAAACAAUCUGCAAAAGCUCAUGAUUCGUUCAGUGUAUAGCCUACACACAAGGGAUGUGACAGUAUGAAAAUUUCACGGUAUGAUAAUCGUACUACUCAAUAUCACGAUUUAACAACAGUUUUAUGAUUCAUCGGAGGACACGCUCCGAUGUCCUCCGACAGGUUUUAAGUUUAAAAAAAAAAAAAAAAAAUCACACACAGUCUACUACUCGAUCUGUUUAUUUAUGGCUCUGCAGAUUUUUUAAAAACCAUUUUUAUUGAAAAAUAAAACAAAAAAUGCAACUGAAUAGUUCAAUCCUUGUAAUUGUAUAUUUUAAAUAAUAAAAAUAAUUUUUCCUGAAUCCAAAGUGAGCCCACACGGAUGAACGAGUUCGCUUUUUGGGGGGAUAUAGUUACGGUCGGUAUCAGAAUCAGCAUCAGACAUCGGAAGUGUUGUUAAGGGACUGCAAACGGAGAUGCCGUGUAGAUGUAGGCUAUAGACGCUAGCUAGCCAGCGUUACCAGAUGGGAAAUAUUAAACGAUCUUACCGGAGUCAUAAAAUUAUCGGAUUUUGAAGAAAAUUAUCGUACACAGCCAAAAAUAGAAAUCACGUGUAAAUAUGUGAUUUCACAAAAAUAGCAUAUUUAUUGUAAGUAACAACCUUGUUUGACACGCCUACUCACAUACGUCAUCCAAUGAGUGCAAUACCAACAGCCACAAAGGGGAGAAAAACAUUUGCGCACCACAUACGCUACGUGGAAGCAGGCAACUUCCUGGACUGAACUCAAAUGAAUGAGACUCACUAAAAGGCCUGGUCUACGGAUAAUGUCAAAUAGCCCACAAUUAAAUCGCAAUCGCUCAAACAUGUAAUCGUUAUAGUUGAGAGCUGUAACGUUACAAUUCAUCAGCAUGGAAACAAUAAUUGUAUAAGUAAUCAGUGUAGAAUUAUAACGUUAUGCUGUGUCAAUGUAUUUAAUAUGCUGUAUCAAUAUUUGUUUGUUCUUGUGAAAUCAUGUCUCUUUUCAAAACGUCCAAAAAGUCUCUCAGUGCAGAACUGGCCCUACCUAGUAUGUGAGUUCAACUUCAACCUCAGUUCUUCCGACGACUUUCUCUUUGCCUCUCCAAUGCCUUCGCCUGACUCCUCGGUACUCAUUUUACUAGUUU